GCUAACUGAAAUCAUUAAUUGAAUAACUUCAAUAUGAUGUGGUAAGGGAAAAUAAUGAUAUUACCUUACUUAUAGUGUUGUCUAAAGCUGGUGCCAGAAGACUCGGUAAAGCCAGAAACGCAAACGUUAAUCAUCAUAAACAGGCGUAAAGGGUUAGUAGGCUGCUUUUUAAAUUAAUAAAAUUUAAUCUUAACCCCUUAAGUUUAAAAAUAAAAAAUAAAAAUUUAAAUUUUAUUAUUUUAUUUAUAUUAAUUUUUAGAGCUAGAAUCAAAAAGAAGUUAAAAAGUAUAAUACUUAGAGUAGGGAUAAUAUCUUCAGAACCUAAGGGGAAUACUAAAGGUGUAAACAACUAACUAUAAAUGAUUGACGCUGAGGGACGAAGGUGAGGACAGGAAAUAGGAUUAGAUACCCCGGUACCCCUCUCUGUAAACGAUGAAUGGUAAUCAUUAGUAUAUUACUGGUGGUAAAGUUAACACGUUAACCAUUCCGCCUUGGGAGUACGACUGCAAAGUUGAAAACAAAAAAAUUAGUCGGUCUCGAAGCAAACGGAGUGAAGCAUGUUAUUUAAU
rnacentral:rRNA from 1 species